GACGAACGCUGGCGGCGUGCCUAAUACAUGCAAGUUGAGCGCUGAAGGUUGGUACUUGUACCAACUGGAUGAGCAGCGAACGGGUGAGUAACGCGUGGGGAAUCUGCCUUUGAGCGGGGGACAACAUUUGGAAACGAAUGCUAAUACCGCAUAAAAACUUUAAACACAAGUUUUAAGUUUGAAAGAUGCAAUUGCAUCACUCAAAGAUGAUCCCGCGUUGUAUUAGCUAGUUGGUGAGGUAAAGGCUCACCAAGGCGAUGAUACAUGGCCGACCUGAGAGGGUGAUCGGCCACAUUGGGACUGAGACACGGCCCAAACUCCUACGGGAGGCAGCAGUAGGGAAUCUUCGGCAAUGGACGAAAGUCUGACCGAGCAACGCCGCGGGAGUGAAGAAGGUUGUCGGAUCGUAAAACUCUGUUGGUAGAGAAGAACGUUGGUGAGAGUGGAAAGCUCAUCAAGUGACGGUAACUACCCAGAAAGGGACGGCUAACUACGUG
rnacentral:rRNA from 1 species